rnacentral:rRNA from 1 species
CUGGAAACGGUUGCUAAUACCGCAUACGCCCUGCGGGGAAAGGUGGGGACCUUCGGGCCUACCGCGAUUGGAUGCACCCAUGUGGGAUUAGCUAGUUGGUGAGGUAACGGCUCACCAAGGCGACGAUCUCUAGCUGGUCUGAGAGGAUGACCAGCCACACUGGAACUGAGACACGGUCCAGACUCCUACGGGAGGCAGCAGUGGGGAAUAUUGCACAAUGGGGGAAACCCUGAUGCAGCCAUGCCGCGUGUGUGAAGAAGGCCUUCGGGUUGUAAAGCACUUUCAGUGGGGAGGAAGGGCUGAUGACUAAUAUUCAUCAGCAUUGACGUUACCCACAGAAGAAGCACCGGCUAACUCCGUGCCAGCAGCCGCGGUAAUACGGAGGGUGCAAGCGUUAAUCGGAAUAACUGGGCGUAAAGCGCACGCAGGCGGUUAGAUAAGUCAGAUGUGAAAGCCCCGGGCUCAACCUGGGAACUGCAUUUGAAACUGUCUGACUAGAGUCUUGUAGAGGGGGG